CUUAAGUAGAGCCAAGGUUCUGAACUUUGCCGAAAACUAUAUUCAGUGACGCAUAAAAUAGUAAAAAAAAUUAUAUAAAUCGGAUGGAUUCAAAUACUACUGGCAUGGUAAAGGAGUUGAUAAAGAAGUUGCAAAGGGCAGAGAGUUGUCAGACGGAGAAGUUAUGGUGUGGGCAGGUUUUUGCUUUAAUGAGAUCAAUGCUGAAGUUAGACAUAUAGAAAGCCUUCUUGUAGGUUAACAGUUUCUGCGCGACCAGUUGAAAGCAAUUUGAUGAAUGCAAAAUUAUUGGAGACAAAUUAAACUCAGAACGACAUACAUGAAUGAAAAUUGAGUGUUUUAGCAAGGACUAAAAAUUUUCAUCGAUCGUGCUUGUCACAGGGCAGGAUUUCAGGACUACCGGUGCCUAGAAGCAGAAUUAGCCAAGAAAUUGGAGUUCUAGACUAUUAUCGACGCAUUCGAACUUCUAAGUAAUAAUAAUAAUUGAAUAUUGCAGACUGCAUGCUCAAAACCGUAUUGUCGAUAGGCGACGGAUUUUAAAAGAGCUUAUAAUUUGCUAUUAAUUUGAUCGAUAAAUAAAUGUCUGAAUAAUUCAUAUAUUCCGGGAUAAUCUAUAUAAAAUAUGUUUAAUUGAGAGUACAUGUAUAAAUUGAUUUAUAUAGUAUUGAUUUUCAAAACCAUAAGAAGCAAAU